rnacentral:rRNA from 1 species
GACGAACGCUGGCGGCAUGCCUAACACAUGCAAGUCGAACGGUAAGGCUUCCUUCGGGAAGUACACGAGUGGCGAACGGGUGAGCAACACGUGGGUAACCUACCCUUGACUGGGGGACAACCGAGGGAAACUUCGGCUAAUACCGCAUAACGUGCAUUGCCUCAAGGUGGUGUACCACAGCUCCGGCGGUUAAGGAUGGGCCCGCGGCAGAUUAGCUUGUUCGUGAGGUAACGGCUUACAAAGGCGACGAUCUGUAGCUGGCCUGGGAGGACGAUGAGACACACUGGAAGUGGGGCUCGGUCCAGACGCCUACGGGGGGUAGCAGUGGGGAAUCUGGCGCUAUGGGCGAAGGCCUGACGCAGCAAUGCCGCGUGAGGGAAGACGGCCUGAGGGUUGUAAACCUCUUUCAGCAGGGACGAACACAGACGGUACCUGCAGAAGAAGCCUCGGCUAACUACGUGCCAGCAGCCGCCGUAA